CCUCUCCCUCAGGUUCCAGGGGUCACUUCACCCAGAACCUAGGGGCAGCCUGCCCCUGCUCUCCUCUGGCAACUCUGUCCCAGGCAAAAGGGCUGCCUGCUGGGGGCUUUCCUUCCAUCUGGGUUCCUGCCCGUUCUAGACACAAAGGCACAGAGGACCAAAUCCCUGCAUUGCUAGCUGCCGGUCCAGCAGGCGCCCAUGAGACUUCCCUGGGCCAGGCGGCUUUCCAGCACAAACACUCUCCUUCCAGCAGAUGUGUCCCUGCUUCCAGACCACCCUUUGAUUUCCCCCUGGGGCAGCCCCCCCAGCCCUUUCUGAGGUACAGUCACUCUGGCCCUCUCCUCGUAGGCACUGCUGAUGGCAGCAGGAGGGCAAUAAAGUCAGAAACAUGGUGUUAUGGUUGGAAUUAUGUCCCCCGAAAAUUCUUACCUUUAAGUCUAACCCCUAGGACCUCAGAAUGUAACCUUAUUUGGAAAUAGGGUAAUUGCAGAUGUAGUUAGCUAAGUCAUCAGAGUGGGCCCUCAUCCAACAGGACUGGUAUCCUUAUAAAAGGGGAAAUUUUAGACACAGAGGCACAUGCACAGGGAGAACACCUUGUGAAGAUGAAGGCAGAGACUGGGGUGGUCUUGCUCAAAGCCAAGGGCAUGCCAGAGACUGCCAGCAAGCCACCAGAAGCAAGGAGAGAGGCUUGGACCAGAAUCUCCCUCACAGCCCUCAGAAGGAAUCAACCCUGCUGACACCUUGAUCUUGGAUUGCUGGCCUCCAGAACUGUGAGACAAUAAACUUCUAUUCCUCAGGCUACCCAUUCUGUGGGGCUUUGUUAUAGCAGCCCUAGCAAACUAAUACCCUGGCUGACACAGCUGAGGGCAGCCUGCCUCCCCUCUCUCUGAUCUUUGCUAGGGGCACAUCACAACAAGCUUCAAAAAUGUGUUUGGGGCCACAGUGACCCUGGCCCCAGGAGCCUUGCUCUCACCUGGGAUGGAAGCACCUCAGACCGCCCAUUGCCACCCUCAGCCUAGACCCUUCGCAGAGGCAGGCUGAGGGCUGUGACUUCACAGGCGGGAGUGGAGCUCAGGAGGGCAAUGUGGUACCUAAGCUUCAGGAGUUCAGCAGGAAAAGAGAAGUUGACAACAGCUCUGCAAACUACCUAAGCACAGCAUGCGGGGGUUUCUGGGACUUACCCUCUGGUGCCUUCCCACUGUCUGUCUUACUCUCCUGCACAGGAUCCUCACUCUCAGAAAUGUGUGGAGAUGACCUGUGGGAUAGGACUGGGUCCAAACAUUCCUCCUGCCCCCCCAGGGCCUAACCCAGUGUCUGCCUCACAUCAAGUACUUAAUCUUUGUUUAUUGGAUGGAUGGAUAGAUGGAUGGGUGUACAAAUGAAUGGACAAACAGGCAAGGGGAUUCCUUGGGCUAAACUUUCUGUGGUACAUGAUUCACCAAAGCAGCUGUGAAGUCACUACCUCAAGUUGCUUCUGGGAACCGAGUAAGCCAUUGAGUCCCUGUGGAUCCCUGUCCUUGCCACAUGGACCCUGCAUUCUUUCUCAUUCUCUCUGGGCUGAAAGUCUCCCAAGUGCCAGCCACCACAGCAAGGCUUCCAAGUUCCCUUCUAUUAGUGCUCCCUCCCCUCCUGGCAGCUCUGUACAACACUUCACACAAAGGAGGUUUAAAUAGCCUCUGGCAAGUCUCCCUGGAAUUCACAGCCAACCCCCACCCCAAAAUCUACCAAAAGCUUCAGACAAAACCUAAAGAGGAAACCCUGCAUUUAAAAAUGGAUCUCUUUCCCUGGCACUUCAACAGCUUCUUCUUUUUAGAAAGCACAGACCAUCUUGAAACAACUGUCCCAGGGAAGUAUGUGAAGAAACAAAACAAAAUAAAACCCUGAGGCCGACGUGUCAUUGUAUUCCAGAAAUUUCCACAGAUGGGAACUGCACUGAGGAGAGUGGCUGCCAGAGCCAGGGAGAGACUGUAAGAGACACUGGGGACUUGAGAACUGGAAAUGGCAAGAAAAGUGCCCUGAGCUUGGCCCAACUUGGCUCUUAAAGAGAACCCCACCACUCAUUAACCAGCCCUAAAACCUGCUAAGUGAAAAAGAAAAAUAAAUGAGCUCAUUAAAUCCAGAAGGAAGGAAGACCUGGAGGCUUAACCAAGGAAAUUCCCCACACCCAGUUAGAAAAACAAGGGGGUGUGGGGCACAUUUAGAUUCAUAGCCAGGAGUAGGGGCUGGCCCCCAAAUGGAGGGGGUUGAGUCCUCCGUGUAGGGCUGGAAACAGGGGAAAGCAGGGCUCAGAAUGCAGCCGGCUGGGAUGGUCGGUGUAGUUUGCCAAGUCAAGCAGUCCAGGUCUUUGGUCACACCGGUGGGGAAGCCAGUUGGGAAAUACCAGGGGAAGUUCCAGGAGCAUGUGGGCUGCCCAGACUGCCAGACUGCGGUCACUGCCCAUGACCAACACAGCCUCAGGUUUGGCCGAGAAAGGCUGCUCAUCACUUCAGCCUUUCCUCCCCCAUUGGUCAACCACUUACCGAGGACUGGCAUUCUGUGUGCAGACAGCGCACCACGAGCAUCUUGGGACCUGACUUGUGCUCACUCCCACCACCCUCUCUAGGUGCUGGCUCCUGGCCCAGCUUCCCCCCCUUGACCAUGGCCCUCUUUUGAAGGAGAUCCCUUCAGAACUCCAUGUUCUUCCAAUGGUUGGGGCUCAUUCCCAGUAUCUGCUUUUGUCUCGAGUAAAAGAGAAUUCCCCUCCCACCAUGGCAGCCCUAGGCCUACACAAACAAUGAAUAAUGCCUUGAAUAGUGUCUGCUGCCCUGGGGCCUGGGCGAGAACAAUGGGAACACAGAUGAGGGAGUGCUUAAUUCCACCUGGGUGUUAGGGGAGCCAUGGGGAAAGAAAGCCCUCUUCUGCAGAGGAGACAGACUCCCCAGGUGGAGCAAGGGAGAGGGCGGAAGUAACUCCAAGCAGAGGAGCAGUGGGGGCAAAGACACAGAGAUGUGAAAGAGGAUACACAUUAACAAGAAGCCCACAUGCCACCAAGAAAAAGAAGUGGUCAUGUUCAUUCUGUGCCCUUUGUUCCCACCCACUCUUUCUGCCAGGGUCUGUAAGUCAGAAUGAUUUUUAUGGCCAAGCUAUCAUUUGUCUAAACUUGGAAUUUCGCAAGGAACCGUGAAACAUGGCAAGAUCCAUUCCCAGCUAUCUUCUCCUUGCCAUCCUCUUCCAAGGUAGACACCAUUCUCGAGAGGCAGCGUAGUGUGAGGGGAUGAGAAUGAGUUGUAGAGUCCUGAGAUCUGGGUUUGAAUCCCAACUCCACUAAUAACUAGCUGUGUGACACUGGAUUGAUUACUUAACUUCUCUGAGCCAUUCUUUCCUCAUCUGUAAAGGGGGGCGGGGAGAUAAAUACCAACCAAAGAGACUGGUCGUGAGGAUAAGAAAUAACAUAUGCAGAGUACCUCACCCCCCACAGAUGCUUUGAGUUAUCCCCAUGUUCAAAGAUGGCAGCCGGGGUUAUCCUGGAUUGUGGGAUGUACCAUCCCACCGUGCUUCCCUCAGUGCCUGGCUCCUACUCAGUUAAGAGGCGGCUUAGUCACCGGUGUGACAUCCAGCACUCCAUGACUUCGAUCUCUGCCACGAAAACACUGGAUUCCCCACUCUGCAGCUCCACAGAGUCUACCCUUUGCUCUUGGAAGCUUUAAAAACGAAUUGCCAUGCAUGAGCAAGCCCUUGGAAUCUAAAGUCACUUCCUUGAGGGCGAAAGGUUGGACUGCUGCACCAUUUUCACAUGUGCUCCCAGAGGUCUGCUCUGAAGGUCAGGGCUGCCGACCAUUCUAGAUCUUAAAGCAUGUUAGACACAGUUUUACUUUGAGGCAGAGUGACUUACAAGAGGGGUGCCUGGGAAAGAUUAAAAGAUACACUUGUAGUCCUUUGCUUUCCUGAGAAAAGUGCCAACUUCUUCUUGGCCUGUAGACUCAGAAAGAAAACCCACUUGGCCUUCAUGGGCUGUUAAGCAGAGGUGGAGGGAAGGGGCAGAGAGAGCUAGGGCAUGCUGGACUCCCUUAAUGAGUCACCGAUGGUCUUUUUCUCAGAAGUCUAGAUGGAUGCCAGGAGCCCCCUGUCCAGACGGGGAGGUGAUAACAGCGCCCUUUGUGUUGGGAGUGGAAAACAAAGGCUCGCUAGGAUUCGGCAGCUUGUGCGGCCCUGGGGUUCCUGGGCCCAGCGGGCACCUGGACGGCGGCUGUGAAAAAACACUGGAGGCAGAACUCAGCUGAGCUGCAACCUCGUGAGCUCGAGCGGGGGUCACCCCUGGCUGAGGUUGCGGUUGAGGGAAUGGGGUCACUCCCCCCGCCCCGACCCCGGGGAGAAGCUGAGCGGCGGCGCGGGGACGCGGACAAAAGCCGCUUUGUGGAGGCCGAGAGUCCCUCGACGGCGCCACCGUGUGGCAGCGCUGGGCAGCGGCUGCGGCGGAUCCCAGGGCUGUCCCGCGCCCACCAGGACCUUCUCCAAACAGCGGAGACAGGGUUGUAUUGCAUUUCAGAAUCUCCACCCAUAACGAAUGCAUCCUCCGGAAGAUGGAAAGUCUGCUGCUUCCCCACGUCCACCUGCACCCAGAGGCCAUUUCAGCCAGGCUCUGAGACUUUACUGCACACAACCCACGUCGACUUUUAAGGCUCCAAAGGAAGUGGACCUUAUCUCUAGUUCAGAUCAUCUCACUGUUGCUGAGACUCAUAUCAACCACCAACUCACUACCUCCACUUGAAUGUCUAAGAAACACAAUGAGACUGUGUACUUUGUGCUGUUCUGAGCAUGAAGAAUCUCCACGGACACUGAACCCCUGCCACAAAGGAGGAUUAGAAAUAACCUCAAAUCUUCACAGGAAAUUCUUUUCAUACACAGCUGUGGACUCGGUAUGUCCUUGGGAGGAAGUGAAUUCAGGAUCUUCCUAUGUCGCCAUCUUAAACUGGAACCAUCAAAAGGAAAGAGAAGAAAAUCAUCCAUGACAAGUAGCGGCUGUCAGAAAGGCAGUUUCAUGCUCGGGGGAAAGCAAAAUCUCCCGCCAUCAAAGCAGCGUAUCUCAGCUUCAAGUACACUUUUCUUCUGGAGGAAAAUUGGAAAGACGAAAAUGAGCUCACGUAUCAGCAUUACUUCCACCCUUCCUUGUCUUUGUGGUAUUUUACAGCUCUGCAAGUUAUAGAAAACUGCUAGUAAUACAAGUAAUUCUUGUCCAUAGAAAACAAAUAGAGUUUGCUGGAAAGUGAGGUCACCCUACGGCAUCUGUUGGUGAAUUCCUUCCAGCACUUCUCCGAAUAUAAGUGUGGGCAACUUUGAGUCUCCUUUGGACUGGUGAUAAAGCAUGCUACUGCUCUCUUCAGUAAUUAAUGAGCUAAAUAGGACAUUUCACAAGUGUUUAUUUUAUAUUUGUAUGAGAGUCAUGAUUUUACAUUUUUAAACAUUAUUUUUUUUUUUAAAGAUUUUAUUUAUUUAUUUGAGACAGAGAGAAUGAGAGAGAGAGAGAGAGCACAUGAGAGGGGUGAGGGUCAGAGGAAGAAACAGGCUCCCUGCCGAGCAGAUAGCCCGAUGCAGGACUCCAUCCAGGGACUCCAGGAUCAUAACCUGAGCCGAAGGCAGUCGCUUAACCAAUUGAGCCACCCAGGCGCCCCUUAAACAUUACUUUUAAGAUUUUAUUUACUUAUUUGACAGAGAGAGACACAGCGAGAGAGGGAACACAACCAGGGGGAGUGGGAGAGGGAGAAGCAGGCUUCCUGAGGAGCAGGGAGCUGGACGCGGGGCUUGAUCCCAGGACCCUGGGACCAUGACCUGAGCUGAAGGCAGAUGCUUAACCACUGAGCCACCCAGGCACCCACAUUUUUUAAAGAUUUUAUUUAUU